rnacentral:lncRNA from 1 species
AUUUGUUGGGGGGGGGGGAAUAUGCACCAACCAUACCCUCUUGCUGGCACAGGUACUUUAUGAAAAAGCAUCACUUAAAUGUAAAAGGUGGGUUUACUUUAUAUGUUGUGGGUAAGGAUAGGUUGAACUGAGAAGUCUCACGGCAGUGGGAUUGGGGGUGAACCAAGUUCUGCUAAGACUCCCCUUCUGCCUGCUCGUUCUUUUGUUAACGUGGUUCCAUGGACUCACAGGAAAGGUCUGCAAUGAAAUCAGAGGUUUUGUUUCCCAUCCUUAUGAUGUACAUGGGUAUUCAGAAAUAAUUCUUGAGGUCACGUUUAUAGCACAGAUCCCGCUCCAGUAGGUUGACUGUGAGAAAGCAAGCGUGUUUUCUUAAAGCUCUUCUAAGGUUGUAUGUGUUGGUUACAGGGACUCUAACCUGGCCCCAGCACUCAGGAAACUGACUGUGAUCUCACUGUUAGCCUGGCUGGAGAAGUAGGGUGUGAAUUCUGUGUCUUAGGUCACAGAUGUAGAUUUUCUCUUUGCUGGUUGUAUGUACAGAUACAGAAAUAUAUGUCCAGGGGUAUUAUAUAGUCAUCAUACACAUUAUUCUGUAUUGUAUGUAACAUACAUGUGAUCUUAAUCUCUAUGAUGGAAUAAAUCAUCACAGUUAUUAUAGGAA